AAUCAAUUAGGACUGGUAUCCUUGUAAGAAGAGAAAGUUAUGUGAUAUCUGGGUUUAAGAAGUGCAAUAUUAAAGCAAAAGCCACGAGUCUUUUAAGCCUGUGUGUAAAGAUACACUCUGAGUUAUAAAUCAAAGGCACAACU